rnacentral:rRNA from 1 species
GAUGAACGCUGGCGGCGUGCUUAACACAUGCAAGUCGAACGGAAAGGCCCAAGCUUGCUUGGGUACUCGAGUGGCGAACGGGUGAGUAACACGUGGGUGAUCUGCCCUGCACUUCGGGAUAAGCCUGGGAAACUGGGUCUAAUACCGGAUAGGACCACAUUUUGGAUGGUGUGGUGGAAAGUUUUUCGGUGUGGGAUGAGCUCGCGGCCUAUCAGCUUGUUGGUGGGGUAAUGGCCUACCAAGGCGUCGACGGGUAGCCGGCCUGAGAGGGUGUACGGCCACAUUGGGACUGAGAGACGGCCCAGACUCCUACGGGAGGCAGCAGUGGGGAAUAUUGCACAAUGGGCGCAAGCCUGAUGCAGCGACGCCGCGUGGGGGAUGACGGCCUUCGGGUUGGAAACUCCUUUCGCUAGGGACGAAGCGUUAUGUGACGGUACCUGGAGAAGAAGCACCGGCUAACUACGUG